rnacentral:rRNA from 1 species
GAUGAACGCUGGCGGCGCGCCUAAUACAUGCAAGUCGAGCGAACAGACGAGGAGCUUGCUCCUCUGACGUUAGCGGCGGACGGGUGAGUAACACGUGGAUAACCUACCUAUAAGACUGGGAUAACUUCGGGAAACCGGAGCUAAUACCGGAUAAUAUAUUGAACCGCAUGGUUCAAUAGUGAAAGACGGUUUUGCUGUCACUUAUAGAUGGAUCCGCGCCGCAUUAGCUAGUUGGUAAGGUAACGGCUUACCAAGGCAACGAUGCGUAGCCGACCUGAGAGGGUGAUCGGCCACACUGGAACUGAGACACGGUCCAGCCUCCUACGGGAGGCAGCAGUAGGGAAUCUUCCGCAAUGGGCGAAAGCCUGACGGAGCAACGCCGCGUGAGUGAUGAAGGUCUUCGGAUCGUAAAACUCUGUUAUGAGGGAAGAACAAAUGUGUAAGUAACUAUGCACGUCUUGACGGUACCUAAUCAGAAAGCCACGGCUAACUACGUG